UACAGAGGGUGCAAGCGUUAAUCGGAAUUACUGGGCGUAAAGCGUGCGUAGACGGUUACAUAAGUCGGGUGUGAAGGCCCCGGGCUCAACCUGGGAAUUGCAUUCGAGACUGCGUAGCUAGGGUGCGGAAGAGGGAAGCGGAAUUUCCGGUGUAGCGGUGAAAUGCGUAGAUAUCGGAAGGAACACCAGUGGCGAAAGCGGCUUCCUGGUCCAGCACCGACGUUCAGGCACGAAAGCGUGGGGAGCAAACAGG
rnacentral:rRNA from 1 species